UACGAAGGGGGCUAGCGUUGUUCGGAAUUACUGGGCGUAAAGGGCGCGUAGGCGGUCCUGAUCGUCGGAUGUGAAAGGCCUGGGCUCAACCUGGGAACUGCAUCCGAUACGGCGGGACUGGAGUGUGGGAGAGGUUGGUGGAAUUCCCAGUGUAGAGGUGAAAUUCGUAGAUAUUGGGAAGAACACCGGUGGCGAAGGCGGCUCUCUGGACCGAGACUGACGCUGAGGCGCGAAAGCGUGGGGAGCAACAGG
rnacentral:rRNA from 1 species